CCUACGGGGGACUGCAGUGAGGAAUAUUGGUCAAUGGCCGGAAGGCUGAACCAGCCAUGCCGCGUGAAGGUCAGUGCCCUAUGGGCGUUAAACUUCUUUUGUGCGGGAGCAAUAAUGGUCACGUGUGGCCAGACGAGAGUACCGUACGAAUAAGCCUCGGCUAACUCCGUGCCAGCAGCCGCGGUAAUACGGGGGAUGCAAGCGUUAUCCGGAUUUAUUGGGUUUAAAGGGUGCGUAGGCUGGGAGGUAAGUCAGCGGUGAAAUGCCCCCGCUCAACGGGGUGAAGUGCCAUUGAUACUGGCUGGCUGGAGUGCGGAUGCCGUGGGAGGAAUGUGUGGUGUAGCGGUGAAAUGCAUAGAUAUCACACAGAACACCGAUUGCGAAGGCAUCUCACGAAUCCGCGAUUGACGCUGAUGCACGAAAGCGUGGGUAUCAAACAGGAUUAGAUACCCCAGUAGUC
rnacentral:rRNA from 1 species